rnacentral:rRNA from 1 species
UACGUAGGGGCAAGCGUUAUCCGGAAUUACUGGGUGUAAAGGGAGCGUAGGCGGCAUGGUAAGUAAGAUGUGAAAGCCCGAGGCUUAACCUCGGGAUUGCAUUUUAAACUAUCAAGCUAGAGUACAGGAGAGGUAAGUGGAAUUCCUAGUGUAGCGGUGAAAUGCGUAGAUAUUAGGAAGAACACCAGUGGCGAAGGCGACUUACUGGACUGAAACUGACGCUGAGGCUCGAAAGCGUGGGGAGCGAACAGGAUUAGAUACCCUGGUAGUCCCUGA